GCUCAGGCUCCGCCCCGCUGUCCUCCGGCCCCGGCCUCACCCCGCAGCCCGGCCCACCGCGUCUCAGGCCCCACCUCCUGUCCUGCCCCGCCCACCGCGUGCUCAGGCCCCGCCGAGCGGUCCCGGCUCCGCUCGCGCCCUGUGGGGUCCACGGCGCGCUCUUCCAGAGCCUUUGGGACCCGUGCCCGCUCGCGUCCUCAAGUGCACGCGCCGUCCCGCGCGCGGUAUUUUGGCGGCCGACGCGUUCCGUAGCGAGGCCGGCGAGUGGGGUCGGAGGUCGCGGGGCGGGGCCAGCGUCGGUUGCCGCCUUAGCGGGCGCGUCCUUUUCAUCCCUCAUCCUUCAUCCGUGGCUUUCGCGCUCUAGCGGAGUGGGAUCUGCGAACACGUGAGGCGGGGGCGCGGUCCCCAGGCUGCCGAGAUGGCCCUGAGCGACGAACCGGCCGCGGGCGGCCCCGAGGAGGAGGCGGAGGACGAGACACUGGCCUUUGGCGCGGCGCUGGAAGCGUUCGGCGAGAGCGCGGAGACCCGGGCGCUGCUGGGCCGCUUGCGGGAGGUGCACGGCGGCGGCCCGGAGCGCGAGGUGGCCCUGGAGCGGUUCCGCGUAAUAAUGGACAAAUACCAGGAGCAGCCUCAUCUGUUGGACCCACACCUUGAAUGGAUGAUGAACUUGUUGUUGGACAUAGUGCAGGAUCAGACAUCUCCAGCUUCCCUUGUACAUCUGGCUUUUAAAUUUCUUUACAUCAUCACCAAGGUUCGAGGCUAUAAAACGUUUCUUCGUUUAUUUCCUCACGAAGUUGCUGAUGUAGAGCCUGUUUUAGAUUUGGUCACAAUUCAGAAUCCCAAGGACCAUGAAGCUUGGGAAACCCGCUACAUGCUUUUGCUCUGGCUCUCCGUGACCUGCCUGAUCCCUUUUGAUUUUUCUCGCCUUGACGGGAACCUCCUCACCCAGCCUGGGCAAACACGAAUGUCCAUAAUGGACCGUAUUCUCCAAAUAGCAGAGUCCUACUUGAUUGUCAGUGACAAGGCCCGAGAUGCAGCUGCCGUCCUUGUGUCCAGAUUUAUCACACGUCCUGAUGUCAAGCAAAGCAAGAUGGCUGAGUUCCUGGACUGGAGCCUGUGCAACCUGGCCCGUUCCUCCUUCCAGACCAUGCAGGGGGUCAUCACCAUGGAUGGGACGCUGCAGGCCCUGGCACAAAUAUUUAAACAUGGAAAACGUGAAGACUGUUUGCCCUAUGCUGCCACUGUCCUCAGGUGCCUCGAUGGCUGCAGACUCCCUGAGAGCAACCAGACCCUGCUGCGGAAGCUGGGGGUGAAGCUUGUGCAGCGACUGGGGCUGACAUUCCUGAAGCCGAAGGUGGCAGCAUGGAGGUACCAGCGUGGCUGCCGAUCUUUGGCUGCAAAUCUGCAGCUCCUCACUCAGGGUCAGAGUGAGCAGAAGCCGCUCAUCCUGACCGAAGAUGACGACGAAGAUGACGACGUCCCAGAGGGGGUAGAGCGUGUGAUAGAGCAGCUGCUGGUCGGGCUGAAGGACAAGGACACUGUCGUGCGGUGGUCUGCAGCCAAGGGCAUCGGUAGGAUGGCUGGCAGGCUUCCCAGAGCCCUGGCGGAUGAUGUGGUCGGGUCUGUGCUGGACUGCUUCAGUUUCCAGGAGACUGACAAGGCGUGGCACGGGGGAUGUCUGGCGCUGGCGGAGCUGGGCAGGAGAGGCCUGUUGCUGCCGUCUCGACUCGUGGAUGUUGUCGCCGUGAUCCUGAAGGCACUGACCUACGACGAGAAGCGGGGUGCCUGCAGCGUGGGCACCAACGUCAGGGACGCCGCCUGUUACGUGUGCUGGGCCUUCGCGCGUGCCUACGAGCCUCAGGAGCUGAAGCCCUUUGUGACUGCAAUCUCGAGUGCACUGGUGAUCGCUGCGGUGUUCGACCGAGACAUCAACUGCAGAAGAGCAGCCUCUGCCGCCUUCCAGGAGAAUGUGGGGAGACAGGGCACUUUCCCUCAUGGUAUUGAUAUUUUGACCACAGCUGACUAUUUUGCCGUCGGUAACAGAUCCAACUGUUUCCUGGUUAUAAGUGUGUUCAUUGCCGGCUUUCCUGAGUACACCCAGCCAAUGAUAGACCACCUGGUUACCAUGAAGAUCAACCACUGGGAUGGGGUCAUCCGAGAGCUGGCUGCGAAGGCGCUGCACAACCUGGCCCAGCAGGCACCCGAGUUCAGCGCCACGCAAGUCUUCCCGAGGCUGCUGUCCAUGACACUGAGUCCAGAUCUUCACACGAGGCAUGGGUCGAUUCUCGCCUGCGCAGAAGUUGCUUACGCCUUGUACAAACUUGCAGCCCAAGAGAACAGGCCCGUCACGGACCAUCUGGACGAGCAGGCAGUGCAGGGCCUGAAGCAGAUUCACCAGCAGCUCUAUGAUCGUCAGUUAUACAGGGGUCUGGGAGGACAGCUCAUGAGACAAGCAGUGUGCGUUUUAAUAGAAAAGUUGUCACUUUCCAAAAUGCCCUUUAGAGGUGACACCGUAAUUGAUGGUUGGCAAUGGCUGAUAAAUGACACUUUGAGACAUCUCCAUCUCAUCUCAAGUCACUCCCGCCAGCAGAUGAAGGAUGCAGCGGUCUCGGCCCUGGCUGCUCUAUGCAGUGAAUAUUACAUGAAGGAGCCGGGGGAGGCAGAUCCCGCAAUUCAGGAGGAGCUGAUCACGCAGUACCUGGCUGAGCUUCGGAACCCCGAGGAGAUGACUCGCUGUGGCUUCUCGUUGGCCUUGGGCGCCCUUCCAGGCUUCCUUCUGAAAGGCCGGCUCCAGCAGGUUCUCACAGGUUUAAGAGCAGUUACCCACACUUCCCCCGAGGACGUAAGUUUUGCUGAGUCCAGGAGAGAUGGCUUGAAGGCCAUUGCUAGGAUUUGCCAGACUGUCGGUGUGAAAGCAGGAGCCCCAGACGAAGCUGUGUGCAGAGAGAAUGUUUCCCAGAUUUACUGUGCGCUGCUGGGCUGCAUGGACGACUACACCACGGACAGCAGAGGGGACGUGGGCACCUGGGUCCGCAAGGCCGCCAUGACCAGUCUGAUGGAUCUGACACUUCUGCUGGCUCGGAGCCAGCCUGAGCUGAUCGAGGCCCAUAUCUGUGAGCGCAUCAUGUGCUGUGUGGCCCAGCAGGCCAGUGAGAAGAUUGACCGUUUCCGUGCUCACGCCGCCAGCGUGUUCCUGACGCUCCUGCACUUUGACAGCCCUCCUAUCCCCCACGUGCCCCACCGAGGAGAACUGGAAAAGCUGUUUCCCAGGUCCGACGUGGCCUCCGUGAACUGGAGUGCACCUUCCCAGGCCUUCCCACGCAUCACCCAGCUCCUUGGGCUGCCCACCUACCGCUACCACGUCCUGCUGGGGCUAGUCGUGUCCCUGGGCGGCUUGACGGAGUCGACGAUCCGGCACUCCACCCAGAGCCUCUUUGAGUACAUGAAGGGCAUUCAGAGCGACCCGCAGGCCCUGGGCAGCUUCAGCGGGACCCUUCUGCAGAUCUUUGAGGACAACCUUCUGAAUGAGAGGGUGUCCGUGCCGCUGCUGAAGACGCUGGACCAUGUGCUCACCCACGGCUGCUUCGACAUCUUCACCACGGAGGAGGACCACCCCUUUGCUGUGAAGUUGCUUGCGCUUUGUAAGAAAGAAAUCAAGAAUUCAAAAGAUAUCCAGAAGCUCCUGUCAGGCAUCGCAGUGUUCUGCGGGAUGGUGCAGUUCCCCGGCGACGUGAGGAGGCAGGCCCUCCUGCAGCUGUGUCUGCUCCUCUGCCACCGUUUCCCGCUGAUCCGGAAGACCACGGCCAGCCAGGUGUACGAGACAUUGCUCACCUACAGUGACGUCGUGGGCGCGGACGUGCUGGAUGAGGUGGUGACUGUGCUCAGUGACACCGCGUGGUGAGUGAAGGCCCUUCCUGCACGGCCACCUGGGCCUGGCACCGCCCCUCUUCCUGUCCCCACCGUGUCUACUCGUCUCUCCCAAAACCCUCUGAUAGGAGGAGGAAAGAGGGUUCCCAGGUCUCCACAUCCUCUGCUUGGAUUUUACAAGGCAGCCGUGCUGCUGUAGCCGAAACCUCUUCUCAACCGCCCUGUCCCCGAACAGUGUCAGGUGUCAGGAACACAGCAAAGCCAUCCAUCCCACCAGGGGAGUGGGCACCUGUGCCACCACAAGGCUGUGUCUGGUGGCCCGUGGAGCAGAGGGCACUGAAGGCCUGGCAGGUGCUGCUGCCCCAGACCUCUCUCAAGUUUUCUUGGAACAGGCCACGUGAGCACCUGUUGGAAAUCAAGAGGCACAGGCGGAAACAAGAAAAGCUCUCCCCACGCCUCUGCUCUGAUGUCCACCCCCUUCCUCAGGGCCAUGAGGCCCUCAGGAGGCCAUAGCGCCACUCUCCACGUUUACUUUGGCAGGCACAGUUUCUGCAACAUGGGCUGGCUUCUUUACCGUGAGGGGAGUAGAAUGGCGGUUUUGAAAGAUGUGUGUAUUGAGUUGGGGGUGGGAGGGUCUGAAUGAGAGAGCAGAGUGGGGAAAGUGCAGGCUCAGGUGUCCUGGGCCAACCGGUAUGUUCCUGGGAACAGCAGUGAUGGUGUCUUACACAUAUGGGCAUGGGCACCCAUGCUGGCUCACACACAUGCUUACACACGCACACACUUCUAAAAGGGGAGCAGUCUCGUCACCCCGUGUUGGAGAUCAGGACUGAAGCAACCAGAGGCUGUGUGGGCGUCCACAUGGCGUACCCGGGGUGGUGGAGUCCCAGGUGUCCUGCCUGUGGAUGCUACUCUGUUCUGAGUGCCGACUGUGAGGGCCUCCGUGCUGAUCCCGGUGCAUUGCUACAGGUCUGUGGGGUCCGCGCCCCUUGUUGAAUCCAGCAAGGACGCAGGUGACGUUCCCUAGGUGUCUCCUCGGAACAGUGACCUUCCGACAGGGCUGGGUUCCCAUAGAGCUCACGCACCAGGCAGCCGCUGUGGCCUCGGAGGACAGAGGUGGCCUCUCCAGGGCUUCCGCGAGGUUUUCUGGUUUGGGGAGGAGUGUGUGUGUGCUCCUGAACAAACACGUGGUCCCAGGAGAGGAACCGGGAGCAGCCGGGCUGUCUUCUCAGCAUGCGUUGAGAGAAUGGCCAUCUGAACUACUGCUCUGGAGACCCGUUUUUACAAUGAUGUUUUUUAAAAAAAAACACCAAGGUGCAUUCCGGACCAGAUUCUAAAAUAAUUGGCUUUAGGACUGAAGAAGCCAGGUGUCCCGAGCGGGGCGAGGCCUCCUCCAGCGAGGCUGGGUCGGGGUGGCCUCCUUUCCUCAUAUCAGGGAGGGAGGAACUAGCAGGGUGGGCCUGGGGGCUUCUCCUAUCGUUUAAUCACCUUUCUGUUAAAAAAAAAAUCCUUAGAAUUUAAAGAGAAUCUUUUAAAUUAGAAACGAAAAACAUGCCCCAGAUCUCUCCACAGCAUUGCUAGAAUUUUUAUUUUGCAUCAACAGCUAAAUUAAAACCUUGAAAACCCUUGUCAGCCCCUCCUUGGCCACGCUUGGUCUGUCCUCCUGCAGUCCCUGCGCUGGGCAUGGUCCUUCCCGAGGGGCACCCCUUGUUGGGAAGGAACCGUCCUCCUGCGAUUCCAGAAAGGGCUCAGGCUGGAGGCUCUGCUGGAGAUCGUGCUCCUGUGGCGUCUUUUCUGCCCUCAGCCUGGCUGUGGAUGUCGGGGGGACGCGGAGCUUGCAGUGGUGAGAGAGCAGCGCAACCGUCUGUGUGACCUUCUGGGCGUGCCCAGGCCCCAGCUGGUGCCCCAGCCUGGUGCCUGCUGAAGCCAGUCCUGGAGCCCAUACCUCACCCCUGCCUGGUGACGAUGUCUUGUUCCUGAGGGAGGCCGGUGUGGAAAGCCUCGCACAGUGGUGCCUCCAGCUGUUGAAGGGCAGCGCUGGCCCUUGGAGGCUGGCACUAGCUGACAGCUUUUCCUCUCUGCACCUGCGCUCUGGUGACUUGGGGUGGACGCCUCUGCCUUCACUUGAACACAAAUGUGCUUCCUAUAAAAUCAUGUACCAAGAA